rnacentral:tRNA from 1 species
GCGGGUGUGGCGGAACUGGCAGACGCACGACUCUUAAAAAGUCGGGCCCCCAAAAAGGCGUGUGGGUUCGAGCCCCACCACCCGCA